rnacentral:tRNA from 2 species
GCCGCUAUGGUGAAAUCGGUAGACACGCUGCUC